UCUCACGAUGACACCUCAUCCUCUUCUGUUGCUGCUGCAGCUGCACAGUUAAUUGAAAGAAGUGAUAUACAGGAUCUCAGCGGAAGGAGGAUGAUUCUCCGAAGAGGAGGCUGCGUUGAUCUCCGUUCAUCUGUGGUUCCUUCAAGACCAUCGGGACGUGGAUUAGACACCAGGGACACCGAGAGCUCAAGACAAAUGCAGCAUGGGCGCAGCGAGCCAACACGCUUCAGAUACGGAGGAGUGGGGUUCGAAGACCAACUGAGAGGGUCAGACGACUCCAUUGGAACUUUGCCCAAUGAUUU